rnacentral:lncRNA from 1 species
ACCUGAGGCUAUCUUGAUGACUUGCAAGCAACUCAUUGUGCUUUGGUAUCGGACUAUCUAAAUUUUUAAUUCGAUGGCGGAAGAUUUUUGAGUACAGUCAAGUACUUGUGAAGUCUGAGUGUGAGUCAAGAUGGGAUUGACCGCUUCAAGUAAAAUUAGAGAUGAUGCAUCAUUGUGUUUCAAUUUAGCAAAAUUUUGACCAAAGUAAUCUUAGUAAAGAGUCACAAAAUUUUGGAGGUUAAGACACAAUGUGAAUCACUCAUCCUGGGUUGAUAGUUUAACCCGAAGUCAUCCUUGAGCAUUGAGUGUCAAAGGGAUAAAUUAUACGGUA